rnacentral:rRNA from 1 species
CAAUAGCGUAUAUUUAAGUUGUUGCAGUUAAAAAGCUCGUAGUUGGAUUUCGGGUGGGACGCAGCGGUCUCGCAUUGCGUUUGUACUGCUGCAGCCCUCCUUCUUGCCGGGGGCGGCCUCUCGGACUUCACUGUCUGGGGGUCAGAAUCGGCGAUGUUACUUUGAGUAAAUUAGAGUGUUCAAAGCAAGCUUACGCUCUGAAUAUAAUAGCAUGGGAUAACACGACAGGACUCUGGCCUAUCGUGUUGGUCUAUAGGACCAGAGUAAUGGUUAAGAGGGACAGUCGGGGGCAUUCGUAUUCCGUUGUCAGAGGUGAAAUUCUUGGAUUUACGGAAGACGAACAUCUGCGAAAGCAUUUGCCAAGGAUGUUUUCAUUGA